rfam:Triticum aestivum genome assembly, contig: Triticum_aestivum_CS42_TGACv1_scaffold_569915_7AS
CAGAUACUCCCUCCGUUCCAAAUUACUUGUCUUGGAUUUGUCUAGAUACGGAGGUAUCUAGCACGAAAAUGAGUUUAGAUACAUAUGUAUCUAGACAAAUCCAAGACAAGUAAUUCGGAACGGAGGGAGUAGUAG